rnacentral:rRNA from 1 species
ACGGUAGAGGGGGCAACCCCUUGAGAGUGGCGAACGGGUGAGUAAUGUAUCGGAACGUGCCCAGUCGUGGGGGAUAACGUAGUGAAAAUUACGCUAAUACCGCAUACGAUCUAUGGAUGAAAGCGGGGGAUCGCAAGACCUCGCGCGAUUGGAGCGGCCGAUAUCAGAUUAGGUAGUUGGUAGGGUAAAGGCCUACCAAGCCAACGAUCUGUAGCUGGUCUGAGAGGACGACCAGCCACACUGGAACUGAGACACGGUCCAGACUCCUACGGGAGGCAGCAGUGGGGAAUUUUGGACAAUGGGCGAAAGCCUGAUCCAGCCAUUCCGCGUGCAGGAUGAAGGCCCUCGGGUUGUAAACUGCUUUUGUACAGAACGAAAAGGUUUCUAUUAAUACUAGGAGCUCAUGACGGUACUGUAAGAAUAAGCACCGGCUAACUACGUGCCAGCAGCCGCGGUAAUACGUAGGGUGCAAGCGUUAAUCGGAAUUACUGGGCGUAAAGCGUGCGCAGGCGGUUAUAUAAGUCAGAUGUGAAAUCCCCGGGCUCAACCUGGGAACUGCAUUUGAGACUGUAUAGCUAGAGUACGGUAGAGGGGGAUGGAAUUCCGCGUGUAGCAGUGAAAUGCGUAGAUAUGCGGAGGAACACCGAUGGCGAAGGCAAUCCCCUGGACCUGUACUGACGCUCAUGCACGAAAGCGUGGGGAGCAAACAGGAUUAGAUACCCUGGUAGUCCACGCCCUAAACGAUGUCAACUGGUUGUUGGGUCUUAACUGACUCAGUAACGAAGCUAACGCGUGAAGUUGACCGCCUGGGGAGUA